rnacentral:rRNA from 1 species
UACGUAGGGUGCGAGCGUUGCCCGGAUUUAUUGGGCGUAAAGGGCGCGUAGGCGGUCACGCACGUCCGUUGUGAAAUCGCUCGGCUCAACUGGGCGGGGUCAGCGGAUACGGCGUGGCUGGAGCAAGCUAGGGGCAAUGGAAUUCCCGGUGUAGUGGUGGAAUGCGUAGAUAGUCGGGAGGAACACCAGUGGCGAAGGCGGUUGCCUGGAGCUUUGCUGACGCUGAUGCGCGAAAGCGUGGGGAGCGAGUCCGG